UUAAAGCUUUCAACAGCAUAACAAUUUGCUAAUUUAAGCUAUUAUGUCAUGCAUUAGUAAUAAUCAUAAGACAUAGUCACGCCGUGAUAAUUGAGGUAUCCCAAAAUAGAGAAAACUGAAGUAUAUAAACUUGGUAUAUCUGAGCCGGUACCUGAAUCGUGCGGUAAAUACUUACUGUAACAUAUUUAAAAUUAAAUACUCCUGCAAUGAGUGUCCAUAUUUAAAUUCGCGUACAAAAAGGACAAGAAAACACGGGAAAAACGGUAGUUGCUGUAAAGGUCUUGCACAAAGUAUCACUUAAAACCGCAUCUACAAUUCAAAUACCAACGCAAAAUGGCGGCUGAAAGACUACGCGACUUGAACCUAGCUGUGCAGCCUUUUCAGAACAAUUUAUCGACAUGGAACAAAAGGUUGCUAAGUUACGCGAGGACCAAGGUAGCGGGGAGGUCAAGACUUGACACUGCCUUAUUUGUAAAUUUCGUAGACCGAGAGCAACUCGCAUUGCCACCGAAUGGGAACGAUAUCUCAUCAAUUCUGAUUAUAAAGUAUAAUGAAAACGGCAUGCUAACAACGGAAUUCUAUGAAGUCAAUGAGCAUGCUUUGCUUCUGAACCAUUUUAACGGUCCACCCAUAACUUUGAAAACCCUUCUUGCAUGUACUGUAGGCGUUGCGGGUAUUGUGGGUGUGGUUUGGAUGGGCUUCAAGUUGGGACAACAGACACGAAUCAUACACGAGUUACUGCCGCUUGGCAACGACAUACGACAGACGGCAAAGGAAGUUGCCCGAAAAUGCAUUCAUCAAUGGUAAACACGUUCGAAGUUCGCAUGUGACAUUAAAAUUCUAAAAUAUAGCAACUCAGGCUAGUUAAGAGUUUUCGUUUGACACAAUUAAAUAAUUUAAAAAAAAAUACCAUAGAGAGGAUUAUAUGUGACAUACCCAAAUUAUCUCUUUUUUACAGAUAUCUUUAAAUUUUGAUAUACUAUAAAAUAAAACUUGUUUAUUUAUUUGUUUUGGUUUAAAAAUGCACUUGCUUGCUAAUCAGUCUUUUAGUUUGUCUACUGUUAAUAAGACAAUUUUGUGUUGCUAUUAAAGGAGUGUGAGUGAACGUCA